GCCAAGUGGGGCCGUGCCUAUACAUGCAAGUCGAGCGAACAGAUGAGAAGCUUGCUUCUCUGAUGUUAGCGGCGGACGGGUGAGUAACACGUGGGUAACCUACCUAUAAGACUGGGAUAACUCCGGGAAACCGGGGCUAAUACCGGAUAAUAUUUUGAACCGCAUGGUUCAAUAGUGAAAGACGGUUUCGGCUGUCACUUAUAGAUGGACCCGCGCCGUAUUAGCUAGUUGGUAAGGUAACGGCUUACCAAGGCGACGAUACGUAGCCGACCUGAGAGGGUGAUCGGCCACACUGGAACUGAGACACGGUCCAGACUCCUACGGGAGGCAGCAGUAGGGAAUCUUCCGCAAUGGGCGAAAGCCUGACGGAGCAACGCCGCGUGAGUGAUGAAGGUCUUCGGAUCGUAAAACUCUGUUGUUAGGGAAGAACAAAUUUGUUAGUAACUGAACAAGUCUUGACGGUACCUAACCAGAAAGCCACGGCUAACUACGUGCCAGCAGCCGCGGUAAUACGUAGGUGGCAAGCGUUAUCCGGAAUUAUUGGGCGUAAAGCGCGCGUAGGCGGUUUCUUAAGUCUGAUGUGAAAGCCCACGGCUCAACCGUGGAGGGUCAUUGGAAACUGGGAAACUUGAGUGCAGAAGAGGAGAGUGGAAUUCCAUGUGUAGCGGUGAAAUGCGCAGAGAUAUGGAGGAACACCAGUGGCGAAGGCGGCUCUCUGGUCUGUAACUGACGCUGAUGUGCGAAAGCGUGGGGAUCAAACAGGAUUAGAUACCCUGGUAGUCCACGCCGUAAACGAUGAG
rnacentral:rRNA from 2 species